ensembl:processed_transcript Gm5893 predicted gene 5893
GCGAAGCCCACUAUUGAGUCGGUGCCACCUGCUGUUCUCGAAGGGAAGAACGUCCUUCUACUUGCUCACAACCUGCCUGACAACCUAUUAGCCUAUCACUGGUUCAAAGGAAAACGGCCGAUAGACAACGAUCUAAUUAUAAUGUAUGAACUAAAAUCUCAAGAAACAAAACAAGGAACACUAUAUAGCGGGAGAGAGACACUGUACCCUAAUGGAUCCUUGAUGUUACAGAAUGUCACCUUGAAGCAAUCUGGAAUCUACAGCCUAAAUAUCCAUUCUGCAGAUGACCAAAAAUCAUUGUUUGUAGAAGUCUUUGUGUACCCUCUCUUAAGCAAGCCCUCCAUAACAAGCAACAGGACCACUGCUGUGGAGGGUCAAGACACUGUUGAGUUAACUUGCGAACCUCCCUUCCAGAAAACAACCUACCUGUGGCAUCUAAACGGU